ACCGCGUAACAGGGGCGCCCGCAACAGACGGGCUGAGAUGCACCCUUUGAACCUGAACCGGAUCAUGCCGGCGGAGGAAGUUGCGAUGAGACGGGG
rnacentral:ncRNA from 2 species